rnacentral:rRNA from 1 species
UACGUAGGGGGCAAGCGUUGUCCGGAAUCAUUGGGCGUAAAGAGCGUGUAGGCGGCCCGGUAGGUCCGCUGUGAAAGUCCAGGGCUCAACCCUGGGAUGCCGGUGGAUACUGUCGGGCUCGAGUCCGGAAGAGGAGUGUGGAAUUCCUGGUGUAGCGGUGAAAUGCGCAGAAUAUCAGGAGGAACACCAAUGGCGAAGGCAGCACUCUGGGACGUGACUGACGCUGAGACGCGAAAGCGUGGGGAGCAAACAGG